UACAGAGGGGGCAAGCGUUAUUCGGAAUUAUUGGGCGUAAAGGGCGCGUAGGCGGCCUGACAAGUGGAAGGUGAAAUCCCUCGGCUCAACUGAGGAACUGCCCUCCAAACUGUUUGGCUUGAGCCCGGGAGAGGUGAGUGGAAUUCCGAGUGUAGAGGUGAAAUUCGUAGAUAUUCGGAAGAACACCAGUGGCGAAGGCGGCUCACUGGACUGGUAUUGACGCUGAGGUGCGAAAGCGUGGGGAGCAAACAGG
rnacentral:rRNA from 1 species